AGAAAACCCACCACAACCAGUCGAAUCUGGCCGUGAAAGCCUUCGACAAUACAUAGAAUAGUAAUUUGUUCAAAGGAAUCAUGCCACAGAAGGGUUUAUUGUCAUUAAUGUGUUAUGUGGACCUCAAAGGCUUCCAUUAGAUUUCCCCCCCCCUCAAAAUCAUGAGAUGCAUCAAUUUUUUUCAGUGAUCUGGGCAAUAAGACACACUCCUCUUUACAUAUGUGCAUUUGGAAUAGUGCUUGCUUGAGCAUAAAGCCCAUUGUUAACUUUCUGCAACGGCCGGGACCUCAGAUGCUGAGUGUUUCUGCAGCUUCCCCCAUUUUACAGGAAGUUGUGUAUGUUUGUGUAUUUUAAAUUCAAUUUUGUUACGCAACGUUAUAGAACUUUGGCGUCUGUAUUAUAUAACUCAAGCUUAUUUGUUUUGAGCAUCUGCUGCUCUGGUUCCUGUUUCUGUUCCUUGGCAUAUCUUGCCUUUUUCUAUUCCUCACCUGGCCCAGAUUCCCACUUGUGGAGUUGGUGUGACUGGCACUGCUGGUGCUUUUGUUCACGACGUCCCUGGAGGGUUACCUUGGUUUCUGUGUUUGCCCAGGUAAACAAGGGAGCUCUGGCUUUCAGAAGGGCCCUUUGAAAAACAGUCUGCGUCUGUUCUCCCCCUCUCCACCCCAGGUCUUUGGAAAUUCAGCCAGACAGGUUUGAACUGUUCCCACCAAGAGUGUUAUUUCCACUGCAGAGGUGCUUCUGAGAAGCUGUCCCAAAGCCUAGUUCAGCAGAGAGGCGGAGAUUCAUUCUGUGAUCGGCUGCUCUUGGGAGCGCCAGAGUCUGGUUAAGAGAGAUUCCCUGGUCCUGUUAGUCUCUGGGGCUCCUGUCAGGACAGACUGAAUUUUCCAUCCUCUGGGGGCUGGGUGCCUUUCUUCCGGGGGUGGGGGGUGGGUCAGCACUGCUUUUGCCCGCAGGUUUUUUAGGCAGAAAUGUGUCCUGGCUAGGAGAGGAUGAAACGGGGCAAGAGAUGAUCGUAGAGAAGAUUGAUGUCAUUUAAUUUUUUUUUCCUUUUUAGAGGUUGAGUAAAACUUUCCCCUCCUGCUGGAUUACACGCAGGCGAUAGCUUUAAUUCUGCCUUUUCCUCCAUCAAAGCAGAAAGCGGCCGAGGAAGACAGUUCUGGGUUUGUGUGUGUGUUUGCCUGCAGAAGCUGGAUGGGAGGAGAUGCCGUCGCUGGGCAGAAAGUGAGCGUGUGCCUCACGGAUGAGCUGGCACCCCAGGCUCCUUAGUUUGUGUGUCUCUUCCUUACCAGAGGUACUGGAGGCGGGAACGCGCUGAUUCUGCAGUUCCCAUUUCUGUACCAUCUUUACUCUUUUUCCCAUUUUUUUGUCGUAAAAUCUUCUCCAGGUUGUGACUGUUUGGAAUUAGAAUAGCUGGUUAGGAUGAGGAAUGUUUGAAAGAGCGGGUGGUAGAGAGGAGGCCUGAGGGAGUACAGAUGGAAAAUGCUUUUUCAUCUUGUGCCUCCAGACGGCUAUCCUGGCACCAAGGAAGAGCACGAUUCGGUUCUCCUUGAUCUGUUCCUUAGGUGUGUGGCUUUGCUGGCGAGCUGCCUGCGGGGGCAGGAGGCAGCUGAGAGGGUGCCCCCUCCUUAGGCAGACAGCCGGCUCCUGGUGGGAGACUGCCCCCUCCCCCCGACUGCUUCCCCUGGCAGAGUAGAGGGCGUCCAGCCUUAUCUGGACAUGCUUCAGUCUGGGGAUGGGCUGAGCGACUAGUAGGUGUGCCUGCCCAUUUAUACCUGUUAAUUGAAUAGUCUAUGUCAGUGGUGGCGAACCUUUGGCACUCCAGAUGUUAUGGACUACAAUUCCCAUCAGCCCCUGCCAGCAUGGUCAAUUGGCUAUGCUGGAAGGGGCUGAUGGGAAUUGUAGUCCAUAACAUUUGGAGUGCCAAAGGUUCGCCACCACGGAAGCAGGGUCUUUUGUGGCCAACGUAGCAUUCAGAUGAUUGGUGCAGAACUCAAAUGAGGUCGAACAGUGGCGGGGGUGGGUGGAUGUUUGCUUAAAUGAUUGUUAUGACUUGGGGGGUGAGAGCUUUACUUUUCAUCUCUUCUCCUUGGUGUUAGUGGGGGUUUCAGUGUGUGUGUGUGUGUGUGUGUGUGCGUGCGUGCGUGUUGCAGUCUCAGAUUCAGAAUCUCCCGCUGGCACUAGGCUGGUCCAUCACUUCUGCCCUCAUCAGGGGGGUCCCUUUUCAAAGAGAGAGGCCAGCUGAGGAUGUUCUCAAUGCUGAAUUUCUGGGCCUUGGAGGGGCAGAAUCUCUCUCUAAAUGGGUUAUAAAUAGUAUUAGCCAUUACUGAACAAGGAAUAUGUUAUUAAGAUGGGUGUGGAUGUACAGAUUAUGUAUAAAUGAAGGUUGCUCCAAGCCCAAGUGGGGUGAACUUUCAAGUCAGUGUACAGCAGUGGAGGGAUUUUUUUCCAGAGUGGUUGUGUUUAGCCAGCAGGAGCUAAACAAAGCAAGUGUCCAGAGGCACCGGAGAGGUUUUUGCCGGGAUAUAAAGUGCCGCUGGACCCUUGUUUUUGUUUCGAGCCAGAAAACGUAAAAUCGGAUAACAAGCUGUUCUAGAAUUGUGCUGAAAUUUAAAACAUUUAAAUAAUGCCAAAUCUUGUAAAAUGAAA